rnacentral:tRNA from 1 species
AAUAGAAUAAUGAUCAAUGGAAAAAAUAAAAAAAAAUCCUUUAGCUGGAUAAGGGGCGGAUGUAGCCAAGUGGAUCAAGGCAGUGGA